ACUCUCUUAGUAUAAUUAAUAUCACUGACUUCCAAUCAGUAGAUUCCGAAACACUCGGAAGGGAGUA
rnacentral:tRNA from 1 species